GGUUAAGUUAGAAAGGGCGCACGGUGAAUGCCUUGGCACUAGGAGCCGAUGAAGGACGGGACUAACACCGAUAUGCUUCGGGGAGCUGUAAGUGAGCUUUUGAUCCGGAGAUUUCCGAAUGGGGAAACCCACUGUUCGUAAUGGAACAGUAUCUUUAUCUGAAUACAUAGGAUAUUGAAGGCAGACCCGGGGAACUGAAACAUCUAAGUACCCGGAGGAAGAGAAAGCAAAUGCGAUUUCCUGAGUAGCGGCGAGCGAAACGGAAUUAGCCCAAACCAAGAGGCUUGCCUCUUGGGGUUGUAGGACACUCUAUACGGAGUUACAAAGGAACGAAGUAAAUGAAGCGACCUGGAAAGGUCCGUCGAAGAAGGUAACAACCCUGUAGUUGAAACUUCGUUCCUCUUGAGUGGAUCCUGAGUACGGCGGAACACGUGAAAUUCCGUCGGAAGCUGGGAGGACCAUCUCCCAAGGCUAAAUACUACCUAGUGACCGAUAGUGAACCAGUACCGUGAGGGAAAGGUGAAAAAGCACCCCGGAAGGGGAGUGAAAGAGAUCCUGAAACCGUGUGCCUACAAGUAGUCAGAGCCCGUUAACGGGUGAUGGCGUGCCUUUUGUAGAAUGAACCGGCGAGUUACGAUCCCAUGCAAGGUUAAGCUGAUAAGGCGGAGCCGUAGCGAAAGCGAGUCUGAAUAGGGCGUUUAGUAUGUGGUUGUAGACCCGAAACCAGGUGAUCUACCCAUGUCCAGGGUGAAGUUCAGGUAACACUGAAUGGAGGCCCGAACCCACGCACGUUGAAAAGUGCGGGGAUGAGGUGUGGGUAGCGGAGAAAUUCCAAUCGAACCUGGAGAUAGCUGGUUCUCUCCGAAAUAGCUUUAGGGCUAGCCUCAUGUUGUGAGAGUCUUGGAGGUAGAGCACUGAUUGGACUAGGGGCCCCCAACGGGUUACCGAAUUCAGUCAAACUCCGAAUGCCAAAGACUUAUCCAUGGGAGUCAGACUGCGAGUGAUAAGAUCCGUAGUCAAAAGGGAAACAGCCCAGACCACCAGCUAAGGUCCCCAAGUAUACGUUAAGUGGAAAAGGAUGUGGAGUUGCUUAGACAACCAGGAUGUUGGCUUAGAAGCAGCCACCAUUUAAAGAGUGCGUAAUAGCUCACUGGUCGAGUGACUCUGCGCCGAAAAUGUACCGGGGCUAAACGUAUCACCGAAGCUGUGGAUUGACAUCUUAGAUGUCAGUGGUAGGAGAGCGUUCUAAGUGCAGCGAAGUCAGACCGUAAGGACUGGUGGAGCGCUUAGAAGUGAGAAUGCCGGUAUGAGUAGCGAAAGACAAGUGAGAAUCUUGUCCACCGAAUGCCUAAGGUUUCCUGAGGAAGGCUCGUCCGCUCAGGGUUAGUCGGGACCUAAGCCGAGGCUGAAAAGCGUAGGCGAUGGCCAACAGGUUGAUAUUCCUGUACCACCUCCCCGCCGUUUGAGUAAUGGGGGGGACGCAGUAGGAUAGGGUAAGCGCGCUGCUGGAUAUGCGCGUUCAAGCAGUUAGGCUGAUGAGUAGGCAAAUCCGCUCAUCAUAAAGGCUGAGCUGUGAUGACGAGGGAAUUAUAGUACCGAAGUUCCUGAUUCCACACUGCCAAGAAAAGCCUCUAGCGAGGCGGGAGGUGCCCGUACCGCAAACCGACACAGGUAGGCGAGGAGAGAAUCCUAAGGUGAUCGAGAGAACUCUCGUUAAGGAACUCGGCAAAAAUGACCCCGUAACUUCGGGAGAAGGGGUGCUCUGGUAGGGUGUAUAGCCCGAGAGAGCCGCAGUGAAUAGGCCCAGGCGACUGUUUAGCAAAAAAACACAGGUCUCUGCGAAGCCGCAAGGCGAAGUAUAGGGGCUGACGCCUGCCCGGUGCUGGAAGGUUAAGAGGAGGGGUUAUCCUUUGGGAGAAGCUCUGAAUCGAAGCCCCAGUAAACGGCGGCCGUAACUAUAACGGUCCUAAGGUAGCGAAAUUCCUUGUCGGGUAAGUUCCGACCCGCACGAAAGGCGUAACGAUCUGGGCACUGUCUCAACGAGAGACUCGGUGAAAUUAUAGUACCUGUGAAGAUGCAGGUUACCCGCGACAGGACGGAAAGACCCCGUGGAGCUUUACUGUAGCCUGAUAUUGAAUUUUGGUACAGCUUGUACAGGAUAGGUAGGAGCCUGAGAAGCCGGAGCGCUAGCUUCGGUGGAGGCGUCGGUGGGAUACUACCCUGGCUGUAUUGAAAUUCUAACCCGCGGCCCUGAUCGGGCCGGGAGACAGUGUCAGGUGGGCAGUUUGACUGGGGCGGUCGCCUCCUAAAAUGUAACGGAGGCGCCCAAAGGUUCCCUCAGAAUGGUUGGAAAUCAUUCGUAGAGUGUAAAGGCACAAGGGAGCUUGACUGCGAGACCUACAAGUCGAGCAGGGACGAAAGUCGGGCUUAGUGAUCCGGUGGUUCCGCAUGGAAGGGCCAUCGCUCAACGGAUAAAAGCUACCCCGGGGAUAACAGGCUUAUCUCCCCAAGAGUCCACAUCGACGGGGAGGUUUGGCACCUCGAUGUCGGCUCAUCGCAUCCUGGGGCUGUAGUCGGUCCCAAGGGUUGGGCUGUUCGCCCAUUAAAGCGGUACGCGAGCUGGGUUCAGAACGUCGUGAGACAGUUCGGUCCCUAUCCGUCGUGGGCGUAGGAAAUUUGAGAGGAGCUGUCCUUAGUACGAGAGGACCGGGAUGGACACACCGCUGGUGUACCAGUUGUCUUGCCAAAGGCAUCGCUGGGUAGCUAUGUGUGGACGGGAUAAGUGCUGAAAGCAUCUAAGCAUGAAGCCCCCCUCAAGAUGAGAUUUCCCAUAGCGCAAGCUAGUAAGAUCCCUGAAAGAUGAUCAGGUUGAUAGGUCAGAGGUGGAAGCGUGGCGACAUGUGUAGCUGACUGAUACUAAUCGAUCGAGGACUUAACCAA
rnacentral:rRNA from 1 species